rnacentral:rRNA from 1 species
UACGUAGGGUGCGAGCGUUGUCCGGAAUUACUGGGCGUAAAGAGCUCGUAGGCGGUUUGUCGCGUCGUCCGUGAAAACUUGGGGCUCAACCCCAAGCUUGCGGGCGAUACGGGCAGACUUGAGUACUGCAGGGGAGACUGGAAUUCCUGGUGUAGCGGUGGAAUGCGUAGAUAUCGGGAGGAACACCAGUGGCGAAGGCGGCUUCCUGGACCGGUUCUGACACUGAGGAGCGAAAGCGUGGGGAGCGAUCCGG